rnacentral:tRNA from 1 species
UAAUAAAAUGGCUGAGUUGUAAGCGAUAAAUUGUAAAUUUAUUAACGGGAAUUUUCUCUUUUAUUAU